rnacentral:rRNA from 1 species
UAGGCGUAAAUGAUGCGAGUUAAGUGUGGGGCAUCUACGAGAUGGCCCUGUGCUGUAGGGUAGCCGUUAAACUCGCUGCCUGGGGAGUACGGUCGCAAGGCUGAAACUUAAAGGAAUUGGCGGGGGAGCACAACAACGGGUGGAGCUUGCGGUUUAAAUUGGACUCAACGCCGGAAAACUCACCGGGGGCGACAGCAAUAUGUAGGUCAAGCUAAAGACUUUACCAGAAUCGCUGAGAGGAGGUGCAUGGCGUAGUCGUGU